rnacentral:lncRNA from 1 species
CCUAUGGAAAAUCCAAAAUAGCCAUUAAUGUACUUAGAUUUUCAAAGGCAAUUAGUGGCAUCAUUUUGGAAUUCACUAACUUUUUCUUUAAUAGGUUCUGUUACUCUUAGAAAAUGAGGUAUUUUCAAUGAGAGAAAUUUAACAUUCUUUUUUUUUUUCCCCUCUCAUGACAACAGUACCCUACAAAUCAGUGCCAAAUGAUGCACAAAAAUCCCUGGGUAUCUUAAAGAGGAAAAAA